AAUCAGUAACAGAAAUAGCCAAACCUGAGCAUCAGAGGACCUUCUGGUCUGCAGGAUGCAUGAUCUCAUAGUUCUGAGA